rnacentral:rRNA from 1 species
AGUGAACGCUGGCGGUAGGCCUAACACAUGCAAGUCGAACGGCAGCACCGUAAGAGCUUGCUCUUACGGGUGGCGAGUGGCGGACGGGUGAGGAAUACAUCGGAAUCUACUUUUUCGUGGGGGAUAACGUAGGGAAACUUACGCUAAUACCGCAUACGACCUACGGGUGAAAGCAGGGGAUCUUCGGACCUUGCGCGAUUGAAUGAGCCGAUGUCGGAUUAGCUAGUUGGCGGGGUAAAGGCCCACCAAGGCGACGAUCCGUAGCUGGUCUGAGAGGAUGAUCAGCCACACUGGAACUUGGACACGGUCCAGGCGCCUACGGGAGGCAGCAGUGGGGAAUAUUGGACAAUGGGCGCAAGCCUGAUCCAGCCAUACCGCGUGGGUGAAGAAGGCCUUGGGGUUGUAAAGCCCUUUUGUUGGGAAAAAAAAGCAGCAGGUUAAUACCCCGCGGUUCUGACGGUACCCAAAGAAUAAGCACCGGCUAACUUCGUG